rnacentral:rRNA from 1 species
UACGUAGGGUGCGAGCGUUAAUCGGAAUUACUGGGCGUAAAGCGUGCGCAGGCGGUUUUGUAAGCCAGAUGUGAAAUCCCCGGGCUUAACCUGGGAAUGGCAUUUGGGACUGCAAGGCUUGAGUGCGGCAGAGGAGACUGGAAUUCCCGGUGUAGCAGUGAAAUGCGUAGAUAUCUGGAGGAACACCGAUGGCGAAGGCAGCCUCCUGGGCUAGUACUGACGCUCAUGCACGAAAGCGUGGGGAGCAAACAGG